UUUGACUCUCUUUCAAUAACAAUUUUUUCUCCUUUUCUCAACCUUCAGUCAUCAAUUUGCUACCCUCACCGAAGCGGCUUCUCCCCUCUCUUUUCUUUUUCUCUCAUUUACAAACAAAACCCGAUAACCUCCUUGUCUCUUUGUCCCUGAUAAGCCAAACCAAACCAAACCAAAAAAAAAAAAAAAUCAAUGUCAUGCAGAAGGUAGAAGUUUUUAAGGGGUAUGAAACUGCCUUGAGUACUGUUUCUUUAUUGGGAAUUUUGGUUGUAACUGCCUUGGUUUUCCUCCUUAUGCGUUUAUUUUCUUGCUCAAACAAGUAUUAGAAGUCUAAUGAAAUUUUUGAUUGGUCAGUAUGGUUUUUUACAAAAGUUUUGUAAUCAUGUUGACUCGCCCAAUAUUUUGUUGGUAAUGGCUUAUGAAAGUGAUCAAGUCUUCUAAUCAUAGCACUAUCUAGCUCAUUUUUGUUGAACUGAUGCAUCCAUGUCUUCUUAGGUCCCUAAAAAUCAGGCCGACUUCUCACAAAAAGCUUUCCUCUUUGCUUUUCGGACUGUAGUUCACCAUUAGGCCUACUUCCUCCCAUUGUAUAGCAUCCUGCUACCAUCUUUUUGAAGUCGCUACCAAACUCUAUUGUGUAAUGCAGCUGGAGCUGAAUUUGAAUAUGAGGGGACGUGCUUGGGAACCCAAAGAUGGAUGAUUUUGUUGAUGAUAAAUCAAGAAUCUCAUUUGGUCACCAAUUGAUACUUAUAUUAGAUGAACUCUAUGAGUCAGCCAAAGAAAGCUGCAAUGGUGAUUGUGUGAAUUUAAAUGAGAGCAACAUUAUAUUGGAUAUUCAAGUGAUUGAUGAGGUCAGAGGGUCUACCACUUUUUGAUAUGCUUAGAUAUAUCCUAAUCAUUAUUAAGCCAUGUGCCUAUGUGGUAACCUUUUCAAAAUAUUUUUUCUUUAUGAACAGCCUUUUCAAAUAACCCCAUAUUCCAAAAGCUGAAAAAUGAGCUAUACCAAUCUGAUCAAGUAAAGAAUACCUUAAGAGAAGAUUUUUUGAAGAGAACUCCAAUGAGAGUCUUUUUUCUGUAACAAAUCCUGCAUAUUGGUGUUAGGUAAGCCUUUCCCUCUUUGUUUAUGUGAGUUUUUUUUUUUUUUACUCUUUUUAAUAACAUAUAUAAAUGUCCUUAACAUUUUUCACAUUACUUUUGUUGUUUUCUAAAAUAAAUUUGUUGUUUGGUGUUAAUAUCCCUUUUUGAUGCAAAAAGCUUUGUUGUUUUCUAAAAUAAAUUUGAUGUUUGGUGUUUAUUUCCCUAUUUGAUGCAGAAAACAAAAUAUUAUAAACAAUUAUUCUUUUUUCCUUCUAUUCACAUAUCUGUUGUGCUUGGAAAGUCUUUCCCCUUUCAUUUCAAAAUGCAUGACAUCACCCCUCAUCUUUAUAAUAAUGUCAUGAUAUGUGAUAAGUAUCUCAUUUUAGCUUAGGGUAGUAGUUAUUUUUAUUGUGAACAUGAUGUGAUGAUGCAAUGAUGAGUUUAUUUUAUUUUGGCUUCGGAUAAUAGCCAUUCUUAUCGUGAACAAGGUCACUGACCUGAUCAAACCACUUUGCAACAAGUUUAGCCCUAUACCGAUCAAUAAAACAGUUAACCUUCUGUUUAAGCUUGUAAACCCACUUGUUACAAAUAACAUUUUGAUGUGUGAGAUGUGGUACAAGGGUCCAUGUGUGGUUAGAUAAAAGGGAAUCAAACUCAAGGUCCAUGGCUUUCCUCCAUUCCUCAGACACUAUAGCUUGAGAAUAACAUCGUGGAGCAGGUGGAAUUUGAGUGUUGUCUAUUGAAAUAUCGAAAAAUUGAAGAAAGCUAGUCUUUUUUUAAUUGGUUUCCUGUAAGUUGGUUAGUUUGUAUCUUUUCGGCUUACUCUGUUCAGCAUAUAACUAUAUAUAAGACAGUCUCUGUAACUUAGUUCAUUAUGUGAAUAUAGAAAUGACUUUCCAAAGUCUUGGUUCAUCAGCUUAAAGUUCUAUGGUCUUCAUCUUCUAUG